UGUAAAAAAUCAACCAAGGUCUUCUCAAUAUUGAUUUUUUUAAAUAGUAUUAUCAGAGUAUUAUAAAUUUGACUAACGACUUAAAUGAAAAAAGGUUGUGCUGGUAAGAAUACCAGUAUUGCUCUUAAUUGGCUUUUUAUUGUCAGAAAAGUCGCCACUUAAAAUUAUUAUGUCAGUUUUAUCUACUUAACGAUUAUUUUAAUAAAAUAAUCCAAAUCUUGUUGCUGUAUUAUUAUAAACAGCAAAAGAAUACUUUUGAGAGGUUUUAUAGAUCUUGUACAGCUUUCUUUUAAAGCGUCAUCUAGUUGAGGAAGAUAAAAGCGUAGUUUUUGUAAGCAAAGAUUUUAAUCGUCACUGUAGGUAACAUAGAAUUCUCACUUCUCAGAAUUUAAAAGAUAAAGACAUACCGAUGAAUUGACACUGACAAAUCCUUACUUUUUGUAAUAAAAAAACUAAAUUUUGACAAACCUUAGUUAAACAAAUCCAUAGAUUUUUGAUAUGUUUUCAUAUAUUUAUUUCAUGGUGGCAUUUUGCGUGACAUCUAGAGGACGACAAAUGCAUUAUACAAUCCCAAACCAAGGUCCUUUGUAUAUUGAUUAUCAGUUUCAGUGUUUUUUUUCAGCAAAAUACUUUUAAGAACUUCUGAUUACAUCUUUGGUAGUUUUUCUUUUAGUUAUGCAUCAAUUGUCCAAUAGCUGUGAAAGAAAACUGAAAAAUCAAGAUGGACGUAAUUACAUAACCCUAUUUAUGUGUUUCGUUUAUACCUCGAUAAAAAAAUAUAUAGAUAAAAAGUCGUUAAUUGUUAGAAACGAAAUAUAGAUUGGUCUGAAUGUUCAUCAAAAAUAAAAGGCAUAGGAAAAUUAAAUUUUUGCCUUUUCAGUGUUGGAGGAAAUUGUGGGCUUAACAGUGAUGUAAUACUGCGCGAAAACACACUGUCUUUCUAUUACUUUCGCAAACAAUAUUUUCAUAUUUAAAAAUUUCAUUCUAGUGAUGGAGGGACUAUACCUACCUACUUAAGAACUCUACGUCAAGAAACUGAGAGCCUGGCAAUAUCAUAUGAUUGGAAAAAUUUAUUCUUUACAAGGUUGCGAAAAAUUAAUUUAAAUUAAAUUAAAGUCAUAGCAGCCUUCAAGAGGAUAAAUUUUGUCAGUCACGUGGUACUGAAGUUCAGAGUUUUUUAAAUAAAGUAUUGUGAAUCUAAA